GCCUGGGUGGCUCAGUUGGUUGAGUGUCUGACUUCGGCUCAGGUCAUGAUCUCCUGGGUUCAUGGGUUCAAGCUCCGUGUCAGGCU
rnacentral:tRNA from 1 species